rnacentral:rRNA from 1 species
UACGUAGGGUCCGAGCGUUGUCCGGAAUUAUUGGGCGUAAAGGGCUCGUAGGCGGUCUGUCACGUCGGGAGUGAAAACUUACAGCUUAACUGUGAGCGUGCUUUCGAUACGGGCAGACUUGAGGCAUUCAGGGGAGAACGGAAUUCCUGGUGUAGCGGUGAAAUGCGUAGAUAUCCGGAGGAACACCAGUGGCGAAAGCGGCCACCUGGACUGCACCUGACGCUGACACGCGAAAGCUAGGGGAGCGAACGGG